rnacentral:lncRNA from 13 species
GUGUAUUUUAGGUUGCAAAGGAAAUAGUAUAUAAAAGCUUUUUUUGGUUUGUUUUAAAAUUGUUUAAAAAAUGUUUCCCACUAAUUAGUUGGUACAUACAUAGAUUAUCUGCAAAAUAAAUAACAAGAAAAGAAAUUACUCAUAACACACACAAUCAAUAUUUUAGUCUGGGUUUUCAUUUUCUUUUUGUACAGAACUGUAGUUCUGCUGCACAGAGCAGAAACAAUGCUGUGUGCUCACUGUGCUGUUUCUUCUUCCUAGCCCCUAACAAGGCAAUAUUUCCCAGUCUCCCUUGCAGUUAUGCUGAGGUCAUGUGACUGAGUUCUGGCCAAUGGCUGCAGCUGCAGGCUCUACAGACCCCUUUGCAGCCUGGCUAUAAAAGCUCUCUCUUUGCCUGCUGUGGUGACCCUGGUGGACACAUGCUGAGGCAGGGGCAACACUAAUUUUGGAGGGAGCCUGGGACCCUGGAGGCCUGGAUCACCUCUCAGAAGAGUCUUUCUGGACAGUUGCCUGAUCCACAUCAGAUUCCACUUGUGCAAGAAAUCUACAAUUGUGCUAAGGCUCCGGGAUUAGGGAAUUUAUUUGCUGUUGAAGCAUAACCUACCACAACCUUACUAAAUAUCAGACCAUCUCUUGAAUGAUUUGUGUCCAUAUAUUAGGUACUUUUUAUUGCAUUAUUAAUUAUUUAUAAACCCCAUAAUGUAAUGUAGCCAAACACUUAAGAAUUUAUGACGUACAGAUAGACAGGUUUGGUUUCAUCUCAGCUUUCCGUUAAUUAACUUCAUGUUCCUCUUCAUGCCUUGAGUAAGUUCUUCAUGCUUCUCUUGAUUGUUUUGCAGUUUUGUCCUGGUGGAGAGAAGCCAGCCAUCUUGAAGAAUGGCUCCUCCUCUAGAAUUGUCUGCUGCCUCCUCAUCCACUUGCAGUUGGCUUCCAGCUGGGCUUGGACGUGGUCAUUUUCAGAGCCAGCUCUGGCCUGUGGUGUUGUAAAGGGACUUUGUUGGCCCUGCAGGAGAUAAGGAGGUGGCAUGUGCAGUGGGAACCACAGAGGAUCUGAGGGGAGAUAAGAAUCAUCACAUCAGAGGACAUGCUCCUGACCCUGGCCUCUUGUCUGUAAAUGCGGAUCCUAAGGACACCCCCUAAUAAAAUUGUGCCUUCUUGUCUCCA